rnacentral:rRNA from 1 species
GUAGGUGGCAAGCGUUGUCCGGAAUUAUUGGGGCGUAAAGCGCGCGCAGGCGGUUCUUUAAGUCUGAUGUGAAAGCCCACGGGCUCAACCGUGAGGGUCAUUGGAAACUGGAGAACUUGAGUACAGAAGAGGAAAGCGGAAUUCCACGUGUAGCGGUGAAAUGCGUAGAGAUGUGGAGGAACACCAGUGGCGAAGGCGGCUUUCUGGUCUGUAACUGACGCUGAGGCGCGAAAGCGUGGGGAGCAAACAGGAUUAGAUACCCUGGUAGUCCACGCCGUAAACGAUGAGUGCUAAGUGUUAGGGGGUUUCCGCCCCUUAGUGCUGCAGCUAACGCAUUAAGCACUCCGCCUGGGGAGUACGGCCGCAAAGGCUGA